CAAGAUGGCGGCCGGCUGGGACGCGCUCAGGCAGUCAAUGCAGCGUCUAUGUAUAUAUGUCUAUGGUUGUACCUGCCUUGAAGAAGUGCUCAGUAAACCGUUGAACUGAAUUCCCUUGUCGUGACAAUUCUUCCCCGCCUCCACUGAUGGUAAAGAGUUUUAAGAUCACGACAACAUUUAACAUGUAAAGUGUCCCAAAGGAACGUUCACAAUGAGGAGGACUCUGAUGAAGGCAAUGAGUUGCAAGACUAUGCCUAUGAAGAGGAUGAAGAGCAGGACAUGCCUCAGCCAGACGAGGACAUCAUGGACAUAGAUAUUGAGGAAGCUCCUGAGCCAGAAGGCAUUGAUGAUGCUGAAAAUGAAAUGGUGGAUCUAUAUCCAUUCAAUUCCUUCACUGAGGCAUCCCUGAGCCUGUUCUUUGAAACCUCUGGCAUUUCAGAGAGCAAUUUUUCUAGCUUACUAGAAAUCCUGUCACACGACAGUUUCAAGAAGGAGGACG